AACGAACGCUGGCGGCAUGCCUAACACAUGCAAGUCGAACGGGAUCCUAGCUUGCUAGGUGAGAGUGGCGGACGGGUGAGUAACACGUGGGAAUCUGCCUUUUGGUUCGGGAUAACCGCGGGAAACUGCGGCUAAUACCGAAUGCCCUCGUGAGAGGAAAGAUUUAUCGCCAGAAGAGGAGCCCGCGUCCGAUUAGGUAGUUGGUGGGGUAAAGGCCUACCAAGCCGACGAUCGGUAGCUGGUCUGAGAGGAUGAUCAGCCACACUGGGACUGAGAUACGGCCCAGACUCCUACGGGAGGCAGCAGUGGGAAUAUUGGACAAUGGGGGCAACCCUGAUCCAGCAAUGCCGCGUGAGUGAUGAAGGCCUUAGGGUUGUAAAGCUCUUUUGCCAGGGAAGAUGAUGACUGUACCUGGAGAAUAAGCCCCGGCUAACUUCGUGCCAGCAGCCGCGGUAAU
rnacentral:rRNA from 1 species